CAUAAUCUCUGAGGAGAAAAGCAGGGGAUCGCAAGACCCUGCGCUUUUGGAGCGGCCGAUGCCUGAUUAGCUUGUUGGUAAGGUAAAAGCUUACCAAGGCUUCGAUCAGUAGCUGGUCUGAGAGGACGACCAGCCACACUGGGACUGAGACACGGCCCAGACUCCUACGGGAGGCAGCAGUGGGGAAUUUUGGACAAUGGGGGCAACCCUGAUCCAGCCAUGCCGCGUGAGUGAAGAAGGCCUUCGGGUUGUAAAGCUCUUUCAGCCGGAACGAAACGGUUACGGUUAAUACCCGUGACUAAUGACGGUACCGGAAGAAGAAG
rnacentral:rRNA from 1 species